GAUGAACGCUGACAGAAUGCUUAACACAUGCAAGUCUUUGGCGAAUCUGUGCUUGCACAGGCUAGCCAAGGCGGACGGGUGAGUAACGCGUAAAGAACUUGCCCUGCAGACAGGGAUAACAGACGGAAACGACUGAUAACACCUGAUACAGUUGCCGGCACGCAUGUGCCUGGCAAUGAAAAGAGAUGCUGCAGGAGGGCUUUGCGUCCUAUUAGCUUGUUGGUGAGGUGACGGCUCACCAAGGCGAUGAUAGGUAGCCGGCCUGAGAGGGUGAACGGCCACAAGGGGGCUGAGAUACGGCCCUUACUCCUACGGGAGGCAGCAGUGGGGAAUAUUGGACAAUGGGGGCAACCCUGAUCCAGCAAUUCUGUGUGCACGAAGAAGGUUUUCGGAUUGUAAAGUGCUUUCAGCAGGGAAGAAGAAAGUGACGGUACCUGCAGAAGAAGCGACGGCUAAAUACGUG
rnacentral:rRNA from 1 species